rnacentral:rRNA from 1 species
UACGUAGGCAGCGAGCGUUGUUCGGAAUUACUGGGCGUAAAGGGUGUGUAGGCGGUUGUUUAAGUUUGGUGUGAAAUCUCCCGGCUCAACUGGGAGGGUGCGCCGAAUACUGAAUGACUCGAGUGUGGGAGAGGUGAGUGGAAUUCCUGGUGUAGCGGUGAAAUGCGUAGAUAUCAGGAGGAACACCGGUGGUGUAGACGGCUCACUGGACCAUAACUGACGCUGAGACACGAAAGCGUGGGUAGCAAACAGG